rnacentral:rRNA from 1 species
AAAAACAUGGCUCUUUGAUAUAUAAAUAUAAAGAGUCGAGCCUGCCCAGUGAAUUUUUAACGGCCGCGGUACUUUGACCGUGCGAAGGUAGCAUAAUCAUUUGCCUUAUAAUUGAAGGCUAGUAUGAAUGGUUUGACGAAAGCAACACUGUCUCCUUUUUAUUUUCAAGAAUUUAACCUUUAGGUGAAGAGGCCUAAAUUUCAUUGAAGGACAAGAAGACCCUGUCGAGCUUAAAAGACGUUAUAGGAUCCUAUAUAUUUUUAAAUAAACUUUUCUAUUUAGCUUUUUAGUUGGGGCGACUAAGGAACAGAAAAAGCUUCUUCUUAACAAUAAACAAUCAUGUUUAGAUCCGAUAAAUCGAUUAGAGAAAUUAGCUACCGCAGGGAUAACAGCAUAAUCUCUCUUGAGAGACCUAAUCGAAAGAGGGGGUUGUGACCUCGAUGUUGGACUAAAAUAUCCUAAAGAUGUAGAAGUCUUUGAGGGUCG